CACGUAGUUAGCCGGUGCUUAUUCUUCAGGUACCGUCAUUAGCCGGAGAUAUUAGCCCCAGCCGUUUCUUCCCUGACAAAAGAGCUUUACAACCCGAAGGCCUUCUUCACUCACGCGGCAUUGCUGGAUCAGGCUUGCGCCCAUUGUCCAAAAUUCCCCACUGCUGCCUCCCGUAGGAGUCUGGGCCGUGUCUCAGUCCCAGUGUGGCUGGUCGUCCUCUCAGACCAGCUACUGAUCGUCGCCUUGGUGAGCCUUUACCUCACCAACUAGCUAAUCAGACAUCGGCCGCUCCAAAAGCAUGAGGUCUUGCGAUCCCCCACUUUCUUCCGUAGAACGUAUGCGGUAUUAGCGUAACUUUCGCUACGUUAUCCCCCACUUCUGGGUACGUUCCGAUGUAUUACUCACCCGUUCGCCACUCGCCGCCAGGUUGCCCCGCGCUGCCGUUCGACUUGCAUGUGUAAAGCAUGCCGCCAGCGUUCAAUCUGAGCCAGGAUCAAACU
rnacentral:rRNA from 1 species